rnacentral:lncRNA from 1 species
UUUUCCUGAUACAUUUUCUUCAAGUGCAUGUAACCUUAUUUAUUUCCUAAGAUUACAAAUUAAUGCCACAUUUAACACAAUCAUUGUCUAAACAGAAUUUAUUUAUAGAAAUCAAUUAUGAAGAUGCUGAAGGGCAAUGUAAGACAUUGGUAAGAUGGAAUUUUGUUUUCCCAAUCUGUAUGGAGGUAGAGACAGUAUUCUUAAUAUGCAAACCUGAGCCAUUUCCUAUAGUGACAGAGUCAAUUCCAUGGUAGGGCUGUUGGUUGGAGAAGUUCUCAACAUUUGAUGUAAUAUGUGCAUUGGCUGCACUAUCAGCAAACCAAACUUGAUUCUCAUAUUAAACAUUCCUUUCGGAAACCAUGGCAGCCAGCUGAGAUGGUUUAUGUCGUCCCUGGUAAGAAUAGUCAAACCCGUGGUAACAGUCGAGAGCCUUAUGACUUGUUUUGUCACAGAUCUGGCAUUUUUCUUUAAAAAUUGGAGGAGAAACAUCACUCAUUUGUUGUGCUGGUGGGGUUGGCAGAUGGUUUCCAGAAGAAGCAGGAAUUGAUCUCCUUUGCUGUCCAAGAUUGUUGCCUUUUGAGGUAAAAGUUUUUAAUUUUGGCAUUAUACCCUUUCCCUUGGUAGCAACCAUAGCAAAAUGUGUGUCAUUGAUAACAUGAGAGGAAUUUUGAGCAUCCAUGAUAGAUUCACAGCCAAGUAGCUUAGCCACAAAAUCUUCCAGAGUGAAUUUCUUGUCUCUAGAAGCCAAAUUGAAUGAGGUGACAAAUGAGUUGUAAGAAGGAUUCAGACCUGCAAGAAUAUAUGAGAUGAAAGCUUGUUCAUCAAAUCUUUUGUCUGCAGCAGCCAGUUGAUUUGCAAUGGAUUUGACAGUGUCAAUAAAGUCAUUGCACGAACGUGACCCUUGGGAGAUAGUUUGUAGUUAGCGUUUCAGAUGAGCCAAUCUGGAACGAGAUUGUGCAGAAUAUCGAGAGGCUAGGCAUUCCAAACUUGUUUGGAGAUGUUAUGACCAUAAAGUGUCGAAACAACAUUAACAGUUAAAGAAGAAAGGAUUGAACUCAAAAGAUGCUGCUCUUUCCUGUACCAGAUUCUAUAAGCUGGAUUGGGAGAAUCAUCAGGGAGAGUUUUAGGAGGAGUGGACUGUGAACCAUCAACAAACCCCAUAAGUUCGUAGCUUCGAAGUAGUGGAACAAUCCAUGUAAGCCAUUGGAGAUAGUUAGUUCCAUCCAUCUUAUGUUGUAUUUGAGAAGAGAUAUUUUGAAAGGUGAGUGUAGGUGAGGGAUUGGUAUUUUCAGUGGAUGUAUUUGAAGCUAUAGACAUGUUGAAAAAAAAAAUUUGGUGCGGAAGCUUACGUUCUGAGUUAGGAGUGUCCUAACUAAUGCUCUGAAACCAUGUAAAACUUAAAAAUGAAAGAUAAAUCGUCUAGCAUUGCACACCAGAACAGCAAGCAUUUACUGGUAUUAUAUAGAGUUGAUUACAACAAACUUGAGUAAUUGAUGGCUAAUCUCAAGCACAUAAUGUAUAAGAAAUUAACUAUGCUGAUAUUAUGUACAUAAUUCACUCCUAUAAUUCUGCAAAUCUGUUAUGUAGAUGAGAAUAUUUUCUGCAGAGAUUCACUCCUAACACCGGUGAAGAAUUUUUCUCAA